UUGAAUCGUCCAGUUUUGACUAUACAAGGAGGGAAAAAAGAAGACGUUAAUGUAGUUUCAAAGUAAACGUUUAACGUUUAAUUUGGACCCAAGACCUGCUUGCAAAUCAGCUUCGACAACAUUACCCAGAAAGAUCAAUUUCCUCAUAACCAUCCUCUUGGGCUUUGUAGACACAUAUGUUUUUCUUCUUUAAUGUUAACAUCUUUGUUCUGACUACCAUGAAAAUUCUUUUGGCGGUAUGUUUCUCCACGUGAUUAGCUUGUUGCAGCUUGAAACUGUCACACAAUGGUCAAGAAAUUCACAAGAAAGAUGUUUGAUUACCAGAUGUUCAUCCUUAGCCGUGCCAAAUCCCGAUUCUUCUCUAUCAUCACGCUCGCUGUGUUGAUCUUUAUCAUCUACACAGUCUGUAUCGUCUCUGAGAUGUCCCACAAGUCUGUUCAUGCGUUUUAUACUGAUCAUAAGAAAAUUGAAGGGGAGCUAGGGACUCAUGAAGGAGCUGAUCAAGGAGCAAUAUUAAAAUCAAGUACCAUCAAUCCCAUAAAAUUACGUUCCAUUCAAGAAGAGGGUGAUGAUGAUCGAGUUGACGAUGAUAAGGAUCAUUUUCCUGUUCCUCCCUUCAAUGUCUCAGAACAGGAAAGGAUUGAGUGGUUGCGGAAAAACAUACCAAAGUUUGAGAUUUUCAAGUCAAACAACUUCACUCGAAGGUUUCAUGGUCGGGUCCUGGAGUUCUUCAACCGUGAUAGCUGCGAGGCUCAGUUCUUCAUGACAUGGAUUGCACCAGCAAAGUGGUUUGGAGAAAGAGAGUUCUUGGCUAUGAAGAGCCUUUUCAAGGUCCACCCACGUGGGUGUUUGAUGAUUCUGUCAAGAAGCAUGGACUCAGCACAAGGGCACAUGAUUCUGAAACCACUUCUCGACCGGGGGUUGAAAGUGAAAGCUGUGACACCGGACCUGGCAUUUCUGUUCAAGGGGACCCCAGCUAAAACUUGGUUUGAUGGGAUUAGGAGUGGGAAAAAAGACCCUGGUGAGAUCUCACUAGCUCAGAAUCUAUCUAAUUUGUUGAGACUUGCAGUUUUGUUCAAGUAUGGAGGUGUCUACUUGGACACCGAUUUCAUUGUUAUAAAACCUUUUACUGGGUUGAAGAACUCAAUUGGAGCACAGAGUAUUGACGUGGAGUCUAGGAAAUGGACAAGGUUGAAUAAUGCGAUUUUGGUGUUUGAUAUGAAUCAUCCAUUACUGCUCAAAUUCAUGGAGGAAUUUGCAUACACUUUUGAUGGGAAUAAAUGGGGUCACAAUGGUCCCUAUUUGGUUUCCAGGGUGGUUGAGAGAGUAAGAAUGAGACCUGGUUAUAAUUUCAGUGUCUUGCCCCCUAUGGCCUUCUAUCCUGCAGAUUGGAUUAGGAUAAGAAGGUUUUUUCAAAAGCCAAAAAACCAGAAUGAUUUGAGAUGGGUAAAAGCCAAGCUGCUUCAGCUAAGUGAGGAGACUUAUGGAGUACACCUAUGGAACAAGCAAACAAGCAGAUUAACAAUCGAACAGGGAAGCGUCCUUGGAAGAUUAAUCUCAGAUCACUGUGUCAUUUGCAACAAGAUCACUAAUAUCAGAAAAUCCUACCACAUAUCAGAAUCCUAAGCCGUCUCAAUUUCAACCCGAAUCUAAAUCCUCUGCAUCUCCAAAACCCAAAUCCAGGCAAUCUCUUAAAUGACUUUUUUCUUCUCAAUUUGCGGUUGCUAUGUUUGACCUUCCUAUUCCCAAAGCCAAAUUCUUUAUCCUUGAAGUUGCCUUCUGAAGCAAGCUUAGAUUGAGCAUCAGUUCCAGGAUCAUGGAUGGCUCCAAACUGCUUGAUGGAUGCCCAUGGAUCAGGAGCUUCAUAGUCUGAAUCGCUGACCCACAAAGGUAUAGGCUUUAUUAUAGGGGAGCCGCUGUACUCCUCAAAACACUUUGCCAAACUGAGAACGAAGAACAAGAAGCUGAAGAAGACGAGGACGAAGAAGAAGAAGAAGAUGAUGACGAACUCCAAUACAAAGAUUUCUGGUGCUCCAAAAUCCGCCUGAUUCUUUCCUUUUGAGCGCCUCUGUCAAUGAAAGGAGACGCCUCUUCAUCCUUCUCUUCCGUUAUCUCUGAUAUCGACAUAGUCUAAAAGGAUUUUGUUAUACGUUUGAAAUACAUGAGCUGUUCAAGUAGCAGUCCUUUUUAUGAAUACGUAGCUGAACAACAGAGGAAGCGGUACCGGGAAGGAACUAGGACGGCUAAAACGAUCCCCAUAAAAAACUGUGAAAGCCGGCCAAGAGAGACAUUUUCUUGCAACAAAUCCUUUUCAGAAGAGUAAUUUUCUCACUAAAAAAAGACUGAUUAUCCAAGGACUACACUGCAAUUCUGAGA